AUGUGCUAUACGCUGAAGCCUGAUGAACAGAAUCUGCGCAUAAAAUACUCUGACUCUGAUCAAGAUCCUAACCAAGUCAUCAGCACUCAGAAGCGUCAGCAUAAAGGAAAGAACAUUCUGAUUACAAUAAGCAGAGAAGACUCUGAAGUAUCAACGUUACUAAGCAUUCAAGACAGAUUUAUUACCAACGGCUUUGUUCCAAGACAAAGAUCUUCUCAAAAAGGAAAGAACGUUAUUAUCAUUGGAAAUGGAUUUAUGGACAACCAACGUAUCUCUUUCGUGGCUAUUUAA